GGCCUGUGAUGUGAGAAAAAUAUAUUUGCUACUCUUGAUGGGGGAACCCAUCUGAUGACAAUCAACCACCAAGAUCUCUGAGGCU